rnacentral:rRNA from 1 species
GAUGAACGCUGGCGGCGUGCCUAAUACAUGCAAGUCGAGCGGUAACACUUCGGGUGACGAGCGGCGGACGGCUGAGUAACGCGUAGGAAUGUACCCCAGAGCGAGGGAUAAGCACCGAAAACGGUGUCUAAUACCGCACAACCUCUUAGGAGAAAAGCUUCGGCGCUUUGGGAACAGCCUGCGUAUGAUUAGCUUGUUGGUGAGGUAACGGCUCACCAAGGCGACGACGGGUAGCCGGCCUGAGAGGGCGACCGGCCACACUGGGACUGAGACACGGCCCAGACGCCUACGGGAGGCAGCAGUGGGGAAUAUUGCACAAUGGGCGCAAGCCUGAUGCAGCGACGCCGCGUGAGGGAUGACGGCCUCCGGGUUGUAAACCUCUUUCAGCACCGACGAAGCGCAAGUGACGGUAGGUGCAGAAGAAGGACCGGCCAACUACGUGCCAGCCGCCGCGGUAA